rnacentral:rRNA from 1 species
GUACCCUUCACUACGGAAUAGUCCCGGGAAACUGGGUUUAAUACCGUAUACGCCCUUCGGGGGAAAGAAUUUCGGUGAGGGAUCGGCCCGCGUUAGAUUAGUUAGUUGGUGGGGUAAUGGCCUACCAAGACUACGAUCUAUAGCUGGUUUGAGAGGAUGAUCAGCAACACUGGGACUGAGACACGGCCCAGACUCCUACGGGAGGCAGCAGUGGGGAAUCUUAGACAAUGGGGGCAACCCUGAUCUAGCGAUGCCGCGUGAGUGAUGAAGGCCUUAGGGUCGUAAAGCUCUUUCGCCUGUGAUGAUAAUGACAGUAGCAGGUAAAGAAACCCCGGCUAACUCCGUGCCAGCAGCCGCGGUAAUACGGAGGGGGUUAGCGUUGUUCGGAAUUACUGGGCGUAAAGCGCACGUAGGCGGAUUAGUCAGUCAGAGGUGAAAUCCCAGGGCUCAACCCUGGAACUGCCUUUGAUACUGCUAGUCUUGAGUUCGAGAGAGGUAAGUGGAAUUCCGAGUGUAGAGGUGAAAUUCGUAGAUAUUCGGAGGAACACCAGUGGCGAAGGCGGCUUACUGGCUCGAUACUGACGCUGAGGUGCGAAAGUGUGGGGAGCAAACAGGAUUAGAUACCCUGGUAGUCCCACCGUAACGAUGAAUGCCAGUCGUCGGGUAGCAUGCUAUUCGGUGACAACCUAACGGAUUAGCAUUCCGCCUGGGGAGACGGUCGCAAGAUUAAACUCAAGGAAUUGACGGGGCCCGCACAGCGGUGGACAUGUGGUUAAUUCGAACAACGCGCAAACCUUACCAACCUUGACUCCUGAUCGGAAUAGAGAAUCUUUCCUUCAGUCGGCUGGACCAUGACAGGGCUGCAUGCUGUCUUCACUCGUGCGGGAAUGUUCGGUUAGUCCGCAACAACGCAACCACAUCUUAAUUACAACGGUUGGCGGGGAC